GAUGAAGAACGUAGCGAAAUGCGAUAAGUAAUGUGAAUUGCAGAAUUCAGUGAAUCAUCGAAUCUUUGAACGCACAUUGCACCCGCUAGUAUUCUGGCGGGCAUGCCUGUUCGAGCGUCAUUUCAACCAUCAAGCCCUGUUUAGGCUUGUGUUGGGGCCCUGCGGUUGCCGCAGCCCCCUAAAUGCAGUGGCGGGCUCGUUGUCACUCCGAGCGCAGUAGCGUAUCUCGCUCUGGGCGUGGCGGCGGGUGCUAGCCGUGAAACACCCACUAAGGUUGACCUCGGAUCAGGUAGGAAUACCCGCUGAACUAAGCAUAUCAAUAAGCGGAGGA
rnacentral:misc_RNA from 1 species